rnacentral:rRNA from 1 species
CCUACGGGGGGCAGCAGUGAGGAAUAUUGGUCAAUGGACGCGAGUCUGAACCAGCCAAGUAGCGUGAAGGAUGACUGCCCUAUGGGUUGUAAACUUCUUUUAUAUGGGAAUAAAAUGUUCCACGUGUGGCUUUUUGUAUGUACUAUAUGAAUAAGGAUCGGCUAACUCCGUGCCAGCAGCCGCGGUAAGACGGAGGAUCCGAGCGUUAUCCGGAUUUAUUGGGUUUAAAGGGAGCGUAGAUGGAUUGUUAAGUCAGUUGUGAAAGUUUGCGGCUCAACCGUAAAAUUGCAGUUGAAACUGGCAGUCUUGAGUACAGUAGAGGUGGGCGGAAUUCGUGGUGUAGCGGUGAAAUGCUUAGAGAUCACGAAGAACUCCGAGUGCGAAGGCAGCUUACUAGACUGCCACUGACACUGAGGCUCGAAAGUGUGGGUAUCAAACAGGAUUAGAUACCCCAGUAGUC